AUUAAUAAUUAAUAUAUUUAAUAAAAAUAAUUUUCAUUUAAUAAAUAUUUUAAUGGGGGUUAAAGUAUUUUUUAAAGAAAAAAUUUUUAAAUUUAUAGUUAAUUAGUAUUGUGAAAGAAUUUUGAAAUAUUAUGAAAAAUAAAAUUUUUAGAAAGUAAUUUUUAUUUAUUGUAUCUUGUGUAUCAGAGUUUAUUAAAAAUUUUUAAUUUAUAAAUUAAUUUCUCGAAUUUAAAAGAGUUAAAUAAUUAUUAAAGUUAUUGUAGCAAAAUUAUUUUAAAUAAUUAUUUAGAAAUGAAAUGUUAAUCGUUUUUAAAUAUAUCUAGUUUUUAUAGAAAAAAAUUUAAUUUUAAAUUUAAAAAUUAUUUAAUUAAUCUAUUAAUUAAAUAAUUAUUUAAAUUUUAUAAUUUAAGGGAUAAGCUUUAAAUUAAAAUUUUAUAAUAUUAAAUUUUUAUUUUGAAAAUUUUAUAAUUUAUAUUGUUAAUAAAUUUUAUUUUGUUAUAAAUAAUUUCAUUUUUUUAAAAUUUAAAUUUUAUUUAAUUUUUUAUAUAAAAUUUAUUUAUAAUUAUAUAAAGUUAAUUAUAAUGAUAAAAUUAGUAUAUUAUUUAAUAUUAAAUUAAAAUUAAUUUUUGAUUAAUAAUUAAAUUAAUUAAAAGGAAUUCGGCAAAUAUUUAUUUUCACUUGUUUAUCAAAAACAUGUCUUUUUGUUAUUUAAUUUAAAGUCUAAUCUGCCCACUGAUUUAUAAAAAUUGAAGGGCUGCAGUAUAUUGACCGUACAAAGGUAGCAUAAUCAUUAGUCUCUUAAUUGGUGACUUGUAUGAAAGAUUGGAUGAAAAAUAUACUGUCUCUUAAUUAAUAUAUAGAAUUUAAUUUUUUAUUUAAAAAGUUAAAAUAAUUUAAAAAGACGAGAAGACCCUAUAGAGUUUAAUAAAUUAUUUUAUGAAAGUUUUAUUUAUAAUUACUAAUAAUUUUAUAAAUUUAUUUAUUUUGUUGGGGUGAUAAAAAAAUAAAUUUAACUUUUUUUAAGUAAUUUACAUGAAUAAGUGAUUAAU
rnacentral:rRNA from 1 species